UAGCGUGGCAGAGCCGGGUAAAUGCAA
rnacentral:tRNA from 1 species